ensembl:lncRNA
AAAGAACUGACUCAUUUGAAAAGACCCUGAUGCUGGGAAAGGUUGAGGGCUGGAGGAGAAGAGGAUGACAGAGGAUGAGAUGGUUGUAUGGAAUCACCAACUCAACGGAUAUGAGUUUGGAUUUUAAUUACCUGGAGAGAAAGCAGAGAGACGACAAAGGAGGAGCUCGAGGAAAGUCUGAUCAAGAGGUUAUGUCUGCACUUCUCCUCAGUGAGAGAAAACAUCAAAUCACAUGGUGGUACUUGUGUGUAAAGUUGUGAUUGGGACUGGCCACAGCAUGGACAUUAACAAGCCUCUCUAAAAAAUAACUCAAGCUUCAGGGUCAUAGGUUGUAGGCUGGCAUACAGAAAUAGGAUCCAGCUGUCUACCAAUCCAAAACACUUCCUUAGCAAUGGUUCAACUUUGAAAAUAAGAAAGUAGGUUGCCUAGUUUUCACAUUGCUAAAUAAAAAUCCCUCUUUGGAAGGCAUCCUGAUCUUGAUUGGCAAAGUGAAGAUGAAAUAACAAGAGGACAUUAACCAGCUUCCUCCCAAGACCUGAGAAACACAAAGAAAAUUUGUAAUUAUUCAUCCAUCUAGCCUACCUCCCAUUUACUGAGCAUCUCUUAAAGGUGAAGCACUGAGCCAGAUACAUGGUUGUGAAUAAGAUAUCACCUGGGCUGACUGAAGAUGGAGGCCACGGGAACAUUUAGUUCUACCCUAAGCUAAUCCUUGGGGCUUCCCAGGUGGCUCAGUCGGUAAAGAAUCCACCUGCAAUGCAGGAGACCCAGAUUCAAUUCAUGGAUCCAGAAGAUCUUCUGGAGAAGUGAAUAGCUACCCACGCCAAUAUUCUUGCCUGGAGAAUUUCAUGGACAGAGGAGCCUGGCAGGCUACAGUCCAUGGGACUGUGAAAGUGUCAGACACGACUUAGCAACUAAAUCGCGACCAAGCUAAUCCUUACCUCACAUUCACUUCACUCGAAGGGCAUCUUCUUGGGGCUCAGAAAUCACUCUGGAAAAAACACUGAAAGAGGAUUUGGUUCUUGCAAGUUGUAUGC